UGUCCUGGUGUCAGUGGCUCUUGGAUCACUC
rnacentral:piRNA from 1 species